GGCGCUGGGAGACACCGGACUCAAUCGGCUGCGCUGCGGCUCAGGCCCCCGCUCGGGCCCGACCCGCUCGGUCACCGCCGGCUCGGGCGCGCACCUGCCGGCUGCGGCCCCGGGGCCAUGCGGAGGCCCACGAGGAGGCUGGCGGCCACGCGCAUCCCGUAGCCCAGGGUGCCCAGGUCUGCACCGCGGCGGCCUUGGCGCCAUGGAGUCCCCGUAUUCGCUGACGGCGCACUACGAUGAGUUCCAAGAGGUCAAGUACGUGAGCCGCUGCGGCGCGGGGGGCGCGCGCGGGGCCUCCCUGCCCCCGGGCUUCCCGUUGGGCGCUGCGCGCAGCGCCGCCGGGGCUCGGUCCGGGCUGCCGCGCUGGAACCGGCGCGAGGUGUGCCUGCUGUCGGGGCUGGUGUUCGCCGCCGGCCUCUGCGCCAUCCUGGCGGCUAUGCUGGCCCUCAAGUACCUGGGCCCGGUCGCGGCCGGCGGCGGCGCCUGUCCCGAGGGCUGCCCUGAGCGCAAGGCCUUCGCGCGCGCCGCUCGCUUCCUGGCCGCCAACCUGGACGCCAGCAUCGACCCAUGCCAGGACUUCUACUCCUUCGCCUGCGGCGGUUGGCUGCGGCGCCACGCCAUCCCCGACGACAAGCUCACCUAUGGCACCAUCGCGGCCAUCGGCGAGCAGAACGAGGAGCGCCUACGGCGCCUGCUGGCGCGGCCCGGGGGUGGGCCCGGCGGCGCGGCCCAGCGCAAGGUGCGCGCCUUCUUCCGCUCGUGCCUCGACAUGCGCGAGAUCGAGCGACUGGGCCCGCGACCCAUGCUGGAGGUCAUCGAGGACUGCGGGGGCUGGGACCUGGGCGGCGCGGAGGAGCGUCCGGGGGUCGCGGCGGGAUGGGACCUCAACCGGUUGCUGUACAAGGCGCAGGGCGUGUACAGCGCCGCCGCGCUCUUCUCGCUCACGGUCAGCCUGGACGACAGGAAUUCCUCGCGCUACGUCAUCCGCAUUGACCAGGAUGGGCUCACCCUGCCAGAGAGGACCCUGUACCUCGCUCAGGAUGAGGAGAGUGAGAAGGUGCUGGGGCAUGGGAUGGGGAGGCAGGGAAGGCCUGGGGCCCCAGGAGGGGUGGAUCCAGGCUAGGCCUGUCCCUGUCCCUGGGUGAGCCCCCUCCCCUGGUGCAGAUCCUAGCAGCAUACAGGGUGUUCAUGGAGCGAGUGCUCAGCCUCCUGGGUGCAGACGCUGUGGAACAGAAGGCCCAAGAGAUCCUGCAGGUGGAGCAGCGGCUGGCCAACAUCACUGUGUCAGAGUAUGACGACCUACGGCGAGAUGUCAGCUCCGUGUACAACAAGGUGACGCUGGGGCAGCUGCAGAAGAUCACCCCCCACUUGCGGUGGAAGUGGCUGCUAGACCAGAUCUUCCAGGAGGACUUCUCAGAGGAAGAGGAGGUGGUGCUGCUGGCAACAGACUACAUGCAGCAGGUGUCCCAGCUCAUCCGCUCCACACCCCACCGGGUCCUGCACAACUACCUGGUGUGGCGCGUGGUGGUGGUCCUGAGUGAGCACCUGUCCCCGCCAUUCCGUGAGGCACUGCACGAGCUGGCACGGGAGAUGGAGGGCAGCGACAAGCCACAGGAGCUGGCCCGGGUCUGCUUGGGCCAGGCCAAUCGCCACUUUGGCAUGGCGCUUGGCGCCCUCUUUGUACACGAGCACUUCUCAGCUGCCAGCAAAGCCAAGGUACAGCAGCUGGUGGAAGACAUCAAGUACAUCCUGGGCCAGCGCCUGGAGGAGCUGGACUGGAUGGACGCCGAGACCAGGGCUGCUGCUCGGGCCAAGCUCCAGUACAUGAUGGUGAUGGUCGGCUACCCGGACUUCCUGCUGAAACCCGAUGCUGUGGACAAGGAGUAUGAGUUUGAGGUCCAUGAGAAGACCUACUUCAAGAACAUCUUGAACAGCAUCCGCUUCAGCAUCCAGCUCUCAGUUAAGAAGAUUCGGCAGGAGGUGGACAAGUCCACGUGGCUGCUCCCCCCACAGGCGCUCAAUGCCUACUAUCUACCCAACAAAAACCAGAUGGGUAAGGGAAUGUGUCCCUACGCCGGGCGGGGCAGGGUCCAAAAGUGGAUGUGUUUCCCACUGAGCACCCCCUUCUUGUAGUGUUCCCCGCGGGCAUCCUGCAGCCCACCCUGUACGACCCUGACUUCCCACAGUCUCUCAACUACGGGGGUAUCGGCACCAUCAUUGGACAUGAGCUGACCCACGGCUACGACGACUGGGGGGGCCAGUAUGACCGCUCAGGGAACCUGCUGCACUGGUGGACGGAGGCCUCCUACAGCCGCUUCCUGCGAAAGGCUGAGUGCAUCAUCCGUCUCUAUGACAACUUCACUGUCUACAACCAGCGGGUGAACGGGAAACACACGCUUGGGGAGAACAUCGCAGAUAUGGGUGGCCUCAAGCUGGCCUACCACGCCUAUCAGAAGUGGGUGCGGGAGCACGGCCCAGAGCACCCACUGCCCCGGCUCAAGUACACACACGACCAGCUCUUCUUCAUUGCCUUUGCCCAGAACUGGUGCAUCAAGCGGCGGUCGCAGUCCAUCUACCUGCAGGUGCUGACCGACAAGCAUGCCCCUGAGCACUACAGGGUGCUGGGCAGUGUGUCCCAGUUUGAGGAGUUCGGCCGGGCUUUCCACUGUCCCAAGGACUCACCCAUGAACCCUGUCCACAAGUGUUCCGUGUGGUGAGCCUGGCUGCCCGCCUGCACGCCCCCACUGCCCCCGCACGAAUCACCUCCUGCUGGCUACCGGGGCAGGCAUGCACCCGGUGCCAGCCCCGCUCUGGGCACCACCUGCCUUCCAGGGCCUCCAGGACCCGGUCCCCCUGCUGCCCCUCACUUCAGGAGGGGCCUGGAGCAGGGGUGAGGCUGGACUUCGGGGGGCUGUGAGGGAAAUAUGCUGGGGUCCCCAGAUUCUGCUCUAAGGGGGCCAGACCCUCUGCCAGGCUGGAUUGUACGGGCCCCACCUUCGCUGUGUUCUUGCUGCAAAGUCUGGUCAAUAAAUACUGUACUGUU
rnacentral:sRNA from 1 species